AGUGAACGCUGGCGGUAGGCCUAACACAUGCAAGUCGAACGGCAGCACAGUAAGAGCUUGCUCUUACGGGUGGCGAGUGGCGGACGGGUGAGGAAUACAUCGGAAUCUACUUUUUCGUGGGGGAUAACGUAGGGAAACUUACGCUAAUACCGCAUACGACCUACGGGUGAAAGCAGGGGAUCUUCGGACCUUGCGCGAUUGAAUGAGCCGAUGUCGGAUUAGCUAGUUGGCGGGGUAAAGGCCCACCAAGGCGACGAUCCGUAGCUGGUCUGAGAGGAUGAUCAGCCACACUGGAACUGAGACACGCUCCAGACUCCUACGGGAGGCAGCAGUGGGGAAUAUUGGGCAAUGGGGGCGAACCUGAUCCAGCCAUACCGCGUGGGUGAAGAAGGCCUUCGGGUUGUAAAGCCCUUUUGUUGGGAAAGAAAAGCAGCAGGUUAAUACCCCGCUGUUCUGACGGUACCCAAAGAAUAAGCACCGGCUAACUUCGUG
rnacentral:rRNA from 1 species